rnacentral:rRNA from 1 species
UAGUUGGUAGGGUAAUAGCCUACCAAGGCGACGAUGGUUAGCUGGUCUGAGAGGAUGAUCAGCCACACUGGAACUGAGACACGGUCCAGACUCCUACGGGAGGCAGCAGUGAGGAAUCUUGCGCAAUGGGGGCAACCCUGACGCAGCAACGCCGCGUGAGUGAGGAAGGUUUUCGGAUCGUAAAGCUCUGUCGGAUGGAAAGAACCACAUAGGGGUAAAUAGCUCCUAUGUCUGACGGUACCAUCAAAGGAAGCACCGGCUAACUCCGUGCCAGCAGCCGCGGUAAUACGGGGGGUGCAAGCGUUGUUCGGAAUUAUUGGGCGUAAAGAGCGUGUAGGCGGCCUGAUGUGUCAGAUGUGAAAGCCCUGGGCUUAACCCAGGAAGUGCAUUUGAAACUGUCAGGCUUGAGUAGGGGAGAGGGAAGUGGAAUUCCUGGUGUAGAGGUGAAAUUCGUAGAUAUCAGGAGGAACACCGGUGGCGAAGGCGACUUCCUGGCCCUAUACUGACGCUGAGACGCGAGAGCGUGGGUAGCAAACAGGAUUAGAUACCCUGGUAGUCCACGCCGUAAACGAUGUUCACUAGGUGUUGGGGGUAUUGACCCCCUCAGUGCCGGAGCUAACGCAUUAAGUGAACCGCCUGGGGAGUACGGUCGCAAGACUAAAACUCAAAUGAAUUGACGG